rnacentral:misc_RNA from 1 species
CGCCCCGCGGCGGGGCG